CAGCAGCCGCGGUAAUACGUAGGUGGCAAGCGUUGUCCGGAAUUAUUGGACGUAAAGGGCUCGCAGGCGGUUUCUUAAGUCUGAUGUGAAAGCCCCCGGCUCAACCGGGGAGGGUCAUUGGAAACUGGGAAACUUGAGUGCAGAAGAGGAGAGUGGAAUUCCACGUGUAGCGGUGAUAUGCGUAGAGAUGUGGAGGAACACCAGUGGCGAAGGCGACUCUCUGGUCUGUAACUGACGCUGAGGAGCGAAAGCGUGGGGAGCGAACAGGAUUAGAUACCCCCGUAGUCCCUGUCUCUUAUAC
rnacentral:rRNA from 1 species